UUGGAACCAUCUCUCACUUAGGUGUCUCC
rnacentral:piRNA from 1 species